rnacentral:tRNA from 1 species
GCACCAGUGGCGGAAUAGGCAUACGCGCACGUCUCAGAAGCGUGUGGGCAACCGUGCGGGUUCAAGUCCCGCCUGGUGCA